GGCAGGAUAAGUUCACCAACUUUUUCUUCUUUUUUAACAUAUCCCCUAAUCACUCACAAAUGAGUUCCUUCCAGAGGUAAAGGGGCAUCAAGAGAAAUAAGAAGUCCCGCCUUCAGAGGCAAAUCCAAACAAGAAAACCCUAGCAGGGAAGUUCCACUUGCAUUGUUCAACGCAAUAUCCUUUUUUUUCCUCUUUGAUUCAGUGAAUCUUCGGACCUCUAUAUAUUCCGAGACGUUCUUCUUUUCGUUCGACUGAUCUGCUUAACUUUUAUUAGUCUUUUCCAAUGAAUUUUCAAAGUUUUUAAUAAGUCGUUGUUCUUGGUUCCUGAAAAAGGAUUCGGUGACUUGCUUGUAAUUGCAUUUGACUGCCCUCCUUUGUUUUUAUUCUUUCGAACCACGUGCGAAGAUCAAUCUCAUUCUACAUCUUUGCUCUCUGGAAGAUUUCCCCACACAGCGAAAACUUCACUCCUUCAUUUUAACGAGUUAAGAGUGGAAUGAAGACAUAGGGUUGGUGACAAAUGGAUUCUAUAUUGUUAUCCUGGGGAUUCCUCCUCCUUUAUGCCAUGCUUGUGCUCUGGAACUCCAAAGCGAUGCUAUUGAUGGAAGGGCGGCUCUCCGCAUGUUGCGCCACAAGCAUGCCCCAUGAAUCUAAGAAAAGUGCACGCAUCGCUGGUAGAAAAAGAUGAAUCAAGGAGUUUUCUAUAAGGUUUUAUAGAAACUUUCAAGUGAUGGACAUCAAUUAAGGAUCCAAUUGACUUGAGGCUGGUUUGGAAUGCUUUUGCAUCGACAUUUGUGAUAAUUAGGUGAGAAGAAGGUUGCAUAAUGCCUGUCAUCUUAGUUAGUUAAGUCUCUGAUUUAGUUCUCCUUAUUCUGUGUAUAAAUGUGUGCCUUAUGUUCUCUAAGAUGUUUAUAGGGCAAUCUUUCCAUUGUGCAUUUUUGGAUCAACAAUUAU